rnacentral:rRNA from 1 species
GACGAACGCUGGCGGCGUGCCUAAUACAUGCAAGUAGAACGCUGAAGAGAGGAGCUUGCUCUUCUUGGAUGAGUUGCGAACGGGUGAGUAACGCGUAGGUAACCUGCCUGGUAGCGGGGGAUAACUAUUGGAAACGAUAGCUAAUACCGCAUAAAAUUGAUUAUUGCAUGAUAAUUAAUUGAAAGAUGCAACUGCAUCACUACCAGAUGGACCUGCGUUGUAUUAGCUAGUUGGUGAGGUAACGGCUCACCAAGGCGACGAUACAUAGCCGACCUGAGAGGGUGAUCGGCCACACUGGGACUGAGACACGGCCCAGACUCCUACGGGAGGCAGCAGUAGGGAAUCUUCGGCAAUGGGGGGAACCCUGACCGAGCAACGCCGCGUGAGUGAAGAGGGUUUUCGGAUCGUAAAGCUCUGUUGUAAGAGAAGAACGGGUGUGAGAGUGGAAAGUUCACACUGUGACGGUAUCUUACCAGAAAGGGACGGCUAACUACGUGCCAGCAGCCGCGGUAAUACGUAGGUCCCGAGCGUUGUCCGGAUUUAUUGGGCGUAAAGCGAGCGCAGGCGGUUAGAUAAGUCUGAAGUUAAAGGCUGUGGCUUAACCAUAGUAUGCUUUGGAAACUGUUUAACUUGAGUGCAGAAGGGGAGAGUGGAAUUCCAUGUGUAGCGGUGAAAUGCGUAGAUAUAUGGAGGAACACCGGUGGCGAAAGCGGCUCUCUGGUCUGUAACUGACGCUGAGGCUCGAAAGCGUGGGGAGUAAACAGGAUUAGAUACCCUGGUAGUCCACGCCGUAAACGAUGAGUGCUAGGUGUUAGGCCCUUUCCGGGGCUUAGUGCCGCAGCUAACGCAUUAAGCACUCCGCCUGGGGAGUACGACCGCAAGGUUGAAACUCAAAGGAAUUGACGGGGGCCCGCACAAGCGGUGGAGCAUGUGGUUUAAUUCGAAGCAACGCGAAGAACCUUACCAGGUCUUGACAUCCCUCUGACCGCUCUAGAGAUAGAGUUUUCCUUCGGGACAGAGGUGACAGGUGGUGCAUGGUUGUCGUCAGCUCGUGUCGUGAGAUGUUGGGUUAAGUCCCGCAACGAGCGCAACCCCUAUUGUUAGUUGCCAUCAUUGAGUUGGGCACUCUAGCGAGACUGCCGGUAAUAAACCGGAGGAAGGUGGGGAUGACGUCAAAUCAUCAUGCCCCUUAUGACCUGGGCUACACACGUGCUACAAUGGCUGGUACAACGAGUCGCAAGCCGGUGACGGCAAGCUAAUCUCUGAAAGCCAGUCUCAGUUCGGAUUGUAGGCUGCAACUCGCCUACAUGAAGUCGGAAUCGCUAGUAAUCGCGGAUCAGCACGCCGCGGUGAAUACGUUCCCGGGCCU